rnacentral:tRNA from 1 species
GCAUUGGUGGUUCAAUGGUAGAGUCCUCGCUUUCGGGGCAGGAGACUCAGGUUCAAUGCCCAGCCAAUGCA